UCAUAUCCAUCGAAAAUAUCGAUGUAGAAAACUUCGAUACUUGAUAUAUCGCCAUCACUAUACCAUUAAUUCCCCAUCACUUGAAUUAAAAGCGUGGGAUAAGACUGUCAGGAUUUUGGUGUUGGUAGUGUUGUAGAGAAAUGGAUAAGUUUUUAAAGAGCAAGGACAAUGGCGAAGAUUGCGACGCGGAUAAGGAAAAUGGAGAGGAGGAGAUACCACUUGUCUCAAGCCGCAGCAAGUAGAUAUGCUGCNUGUAAU